ACCAGCAGCUAGCUCUCUGCAACUUUCCCAUGGUCGCCCACCGAAGCUAAGCAGGGCUGCGCCCGCUCAGUAACUGAAUGGGAGACCACAUGGGAAAGCUAGGUUGCUGCCUGAA
ensembl:rRNA 5S_rRNA 5S ribosomal RNA